rnacentral:tRNA from 1 species
GCCCCCAUCGUCUAGCGGCCUAGGAUGCAUGGUUCUCAGCCAUGAGACCGCGGGUUCGAAUCCCGCUGGGGGUGCCA